UACGUAGGGUGCGAGCGUUGUCCGGAAUUAUUGGGCGUAAAGAGCUCGUAGGCGGCUUGUCGCGUCGGAUGUGAAAGCCCGGGGCUUAACUCCGGGUCUGCAUUCGAUACGGGCAGGCUAGAGUUCGGUAGGGGAGAUCGGAAUUCCUGGUGUAGCGGUGAAAUGCGCAGAUAUCAGGAGGAACACCGGUGGUGAAGGCGGAUCUCUGGGCCGAUACUGACGCUGAGGAGCGAAAGCGUGGGGAGCGAACAGG
rnacentral:rRNA from 1 species